AUGAUGCCCGCGUUAGGGAUUGGAGCGGUAGCUCCCAAUGGAACAUCGUGGAAUUGGGACUACAAGCGUAAAGCCCGGCCCCCG
rnacentral:sRNA from 1 species